ACAGGGAGUGUCCCUUAGGGCUGUAGAACAGGCCUGGGAUUACUGAAGCCCUGUUCUAUGCCCUGAGGGACACUGAGCAUGUCA
rnacentral:pre_miRNA from 1 species